rnacentral:rRNA from 1 species
ACCCGGAGAACUGAAACAUCUUAGUACCCGGAGGAAGAGAAAGAAAAUUCGAUUCCCUUAGUAGCGGCGAGCGAAACGGGAAGAGCCCAAACCAACAAGCUUGCUUGUUGGGGUUGUAGGACACUCUAUACGGAGUUACAAAGGACGACAUUAGACGAAUCAUCUGGAAAGAUGAAUCAAAGAAGGUAAUAAUCCUGUAGUCGAAAAUGUUGUCUCUCUUGAGUGGAUCCUGAGUACGACGGAGCACGUGAAAUUCCGUCGGAAUCUGGGAGGACCAUCUCCUAAGGCUAAAUACUCUCUAGUGACCGAUAGUGAACCAGUACCGUGAGGGAAAGGUGAAAAGCACCCCGGAAGGGGAGUGAAAUAGAACCUGAAACCGUGUGCUUACAAGUAGUCAGAGCCCGUUAAUGGGUGAUGGCGUGCCUUUUGUAGAAUGAACCGGCGAGUUACGAUUUGAUGCAAGGUUAAGCAGUAAAUGUGGAGCCGUAGCGAAAGCGAGUCUGAAUAGGGCGUUUAGUAUUUGGUCGUAGACCCGAAACCAGGUGAUCUACCCUUGGUCAGGUUGAAGUUCAGGUAACACUGAAUGGAGGACCGAACCGACUUACGUUGAAAAGUGAGCGGAUGAACUGAGGGUAGCGGAGAAAUUCCAAUCGAACCUGGAGAUAGCUGGUUCUCUCCGAAAUAGCUUUAGGGCUAGCCUCAAGUGAUGAUUAUUGGAGGUAGAGCACUGUUUGGACGAGGGGCCCCUCUCGGGUUACCGAAUUCAGACAAACUCCGAAUGCCAAUUAAUUUAACUUGGGAGUCAGAACAUGGGUGAUAAGGUCCGUGUUCGAAAGGGAAACAGCCCAGACCACCAGCUAAGGUCCCAAAAUAUAUGUUAAGUGGAAAAGGAUGUGGCGUUGCCCAGACAACUAGGAUGUUGGCUUAGAAGCAGCCAUCAUUUAAAGAGUGCGUAAUAGCUCACUAGUCGAGUGACACUGCGCCGAAAAUGUACCGGGGCUAAACAUAUUACCGAAGCUGUGGAUUGUCCUUUGGACAAUGGUAGGAGAGCGUUCUAAGGGCGUUGAAGCAUGAUCGUAAGGACAUGUGGAGCGCUUAGAAGUGAGAAUGCCGGUGUGAGUAGCGAAAGACGGGUGAGAAUCCCGUCCACCGAUUGACUAAGGUUUCCAGAGGAAGGCUCGUCCGCUCUGGGUUAGUCGGGUCCUAAGCUGAGGCCGACAGGCGUAGGCGAUGGAUAACAGGUUGAUAUUCCUGUACCACCUAUAAUCGUUUUAAUCGAUGGGGGGACGCAGUAGGAUAGGCGAAGCGUGCGAUUGGAUUGCACGUCUAAGCAGUAAGGCUGAGUAUUAGGCAAAUCCGGUACUCGUUAAGGCUGAGCUGUGAUGGGGAGAAGACAUUGUGUCUUCGAGUCGUUGAUUUCACACUGCCGAGAAAAGCCUCUAGAUAGAAAAUAGGUGCCCGUACCGCAAACCGACACAGGUAGUCAAGAUGAGAAUUCUAAGGUGAGCGAGCGAACUCUCGUUAAGGAACUCGGCAAAAUGACCCCGUAACUUCGGGAGAAGGGGUGCUCUUUAGGGUUAACGCCCAGAAGAGCCGCAGUGAAUAGGCCCAAGCGACUGUUUAUCAAAAACACAGGUCUCUGCUAAACCGUAAGGUGAUGUAUAGGGGCUGACGCCUGCCCGGUGCUGGAAGGUUAAGAGGAGUGGUUAGCUUCUGCGAAGCUACGAAUCGAAGCCCCAGUAAACGGCGGCCGUAACUAUAACGGUCCUAAGGUAGCGAAAUUCCUUGUCGGGUAAGUUCCGACCCGCACGAAAGGCGUAACGAUUUGGGCACUGUCUCAACGAGAGACUCGGUGAAAUCAUAGUACCUGUGAAGAUGCAGGUUACCCGCGACAGGACGGAAAGACCCCGUGGAGCUUUACUGUAGCCUGAUAUUGAAAUUCGGCACAGCUUGUACAGGAUAGGUAGGAGCCUUUGAAACGUGAGCGCUAGCUUACGUGGAGGCGCUGGUGGGAUACUACCCUAGCUGUGUUGGCUUUCUAACCCGCACCACUUAUCGUGGUGGGAGACAGUGUCAAGCGGGCAGUUUGACUGGGGCGGUCGCCUCCUAAAAGGUAACGGAGGCGCUCAAAGGUUCCCUCAGAAUGGUUGGAAAUCAUUCAUAGAGUGUAAAGGCAUAAGGGAGCUUGACUGCGAGACCUACAAGUCGAGCAGGGUCGAAAGACGGACUUAGUGAUCCGGUGGUUCCGCAUGGAAGGGCCAUCGCUCAACGGAUAAAAGCUACCCCGGGGAUAACAGGCUUAUCUCCCCCAAGAGUUCACAUCGACGGGGAGGUUUGGCACCUCGAUGUCGGCUCAUCGCAUCCUGGGGCUGUAGUCGGUCCCAAGGGUUGGGCUGUUCGCCCAUUAAAGCGGUACGCGAGCUGGGUUCAGAACGUCGUGAGACAGUUCGGUCCCUAUCCGUCGUGGGCGUAGGAAAUUUGAGAGGAGCUGUCCUUAGUACGAGAGGACCGGGAUGGACAUACCUCUGGUGUACCAGUUGUCGUGCCAACGGCAUAGCUGGGUAGCUAUGUGUGGACGGGAUAAGUGCUGAAAGCAUCUAAGCAUGAAGCCCCCCUCAAGAUGAGAUUUCCCAACUUCGGUUAUAAGAUCCCUCAAAGAUGAUGAGGUUAAUAGGUUCGAGGUGGAAGCAUGGUGACAUGUGGAGCUGACGAAUACUAAUCGAUCGAAGACUUAAUCAA